GACAGAGGAUGCAAGCGUUAUCCGGAAUGAUUGGGCGUAAAGCGUCUGUAGGUGGCUUUUUAAGUCCGCCGUCAAAUCCCAGGGCUCAACCCUGGACAGGCGGUGGAAACUACCAAGCUGGAGUACGGUAGGGGCAGAGGGAAUUUCCGGUGGAGCGGUGAAAUGCGUAGAGAUCGGAAAGAACACCAAUGCGAAGACACUCUGCUGGGCCGACACUGACACUGAGAGACGAAAGCUAGGGGAGCGAAUGGG
rnacentral:rRNA from 1 species